CUAAAGCCUAGACCUGCUGCUAAUAUUUAUUAUUAAGUAAAGCCACAGGACAGCAACAAGUGAUAUAAAAACACGUAACAGAGGAUAUUUACUCCUUGAUUAUAAGCUUUUAUAUACCUAAUGCAGAGAUUUGAAAUAAUCUCUUGAACAGUGAAUUUAAAGAGAGCUGCACGUUUGAUAAUUUUUUUGUUGUUGUUUUGUGUUUUUUUUUUCUUUCCAUCAAGUAGAUUGCCUGUAUUUUUCAUUCCUAUUCACCACUCCUGAAGGAUCGAAAAUACUAAUAAACGUCAUGGAAACCACUGUGAGAUCUCCAUGGUGAUAUUGGUUGUGUAUAUGCUGCAGGGAAACUGUUCUGUACACUUGGGACUGCUGGUCGAGGCUGCACACCCUGGCCCUGCCUGACACUGACUCAAGGGAACUUUAGAAAACAUCAUCCCUGUGUUCUUUGAGAGGAAAAAUGGUCUUGCCAAAUGUUGAUGUACUCCAUUAACCCACUUUGUCAGAUGAUGACUGAGGAAUUUGGGCAAAAUUUGGACAAGUCUGGCAGGGGCUGGAACUAUUGGAUGAAUGGUCAUACUCAGAAUGACUUUCUAUAAAAGAUGAAGAGAACUCAUGGAUGAUCUUUUAUAAC
ensembl:lncRNA